rnacentral:rRNA from 1 species
UACGUAGGGUGCGAGCGUUGUCCGGAAUUAUUGGGCGUAAAGAGCUUGUAGGCGGUCUGUCGCGUCUGCUGUGAAAAUCCGGGCUCAACCCCGGACUUGCAGUGGGUACGGGCAGACUAGAGUGUGGUAAGGGAGACUGGAAUUCCUGGUGUAGCGGUGAAAUGCGCAGAUAUCAGGAGGAACACCGGUGGCGAAGGCGGGUCUCUGGGCAGUAACUGACGCUGAGGAGCGAAAGCGUGGGGAGCGAACAGG